rnacentral:lncRNA from 1 species
UCACCAUCAUAUACAUGGAAGAUAAUCAAAGAACGAGAAUUCUUCAAAUGGAUUCGUAUGUACAUGAAAUAGUACACAAAUUUUUGAGAUCCUUGCAGAGUAUGUACUGUCAAUACUCAAAAUAUUGGUGUAAAUGUACUAUUAGGUGUCGGCAUAAUACUUUAAAAACGUGUGUAUGUUUUGCAGAUAUAUGCAGUCAACGCUCAGAGUCAAUGGUUUGAUCGACACUAACAUUACUGAGAUAACUCGGAGGGUUAUUCACUUCUAGCAAGCUUUGACACAUGAUCUUACCAUCUUUUGCUGCCAGGUUCUGCAAAAGACAAAUGGUUAUGAUUGUGGCAUUUAUGUUGUACAACAUGAAUAAGUUUAUCAAAGACUGCAAUGAUAACAUCUAGGUUAGCCAAAUAUAGACCAGACUGUCUUUUGACAUUGUACAGAAGGCUCAGCAAUUGACAUGUUUCUAAGUUAUAGCCAUUUGUUUACCCUGACUUUUGAUGUAGUUUGGCACAAAAUGGUAUAGACCAGAAGAUGAAUCUGCAUUGAGAACCACUCUAAAAGAUUGAAUUCAAGUGAACAGAAUGAAUAGUUUUCGUCAUGGUAGGUGUAAUAGUGCAACGAAAUGGGCAAGUAGCUUGAUCAACUAGAAUGGUGUUGAGAAAUGAUUGUGCUCAUUGGUAUAGCAAUUUGCAGUCUAAAGAUGCACAUAGUGAAACACAAGCAACAGACAUAUGUCAUCUAGUUGCUUAGUUGCAUAUUCUUUGUCGCAUUUUUCCAUUUGUACAUUUGCAUAUUCUCAAGGUAAAAACAAAAUAUUUGUGUACUUAUUGUUUUACCUGGUUGGAUGAAACAUGGUGUUGUAAUAUGCUUGUUCACAAGUUAGAAAAAGGUCAUAAACAUGAUUCAAAUUAGAUGUUUUGUGAUCAAGGUUUACUAGAAUGAAUGUUCAAGAUCUCAAGGAAUUUACAAGUUAGAAUCCAAAGCACUUGUCGAUGGACCGAGAGUAAUUAUAAUAUAAACACCUCAACAGGUUAUGAAAUAGCUAUAGUAGUCCUCACUCAUAUUAGUAUAACAUUCCUUCGGAGCCUUGGGGGCAUGUGACAUCAAAUAUCAAUAUGAUGGAGCAAACAGAGAGUGUUGAGUGAUGGAGAGAGAAUCCAGAGAUAGGUGAACUUCUAUUUUGGCGUUUGGAGAGGCGCACACGAAACCUUGUGGAUACACCGAUGGGUGAAGUAAUCAUUCAUUGUAGUCACUAGCGCCCCGGCGAGCUUCGGUUUCACUCCAUGGUCAUCGCUCCAGAGUUUUCUUAUGGGCUUGUUAACCUAGUAUUUUCACAUUGAAACCCUAUUUUGUGAACCUUGGAUAUACGCUUCCAAACCUGAACCCCUAGUCUCGAAGCGGCAUGUUGGUCAUCGGCUCCAGUUAAAAGAAAUUUCAAAUGGUCAACCAUGUCUGUCAUCUAAAAUAAAUUCAAACUUGAAAACUAAAUUUUCUUUGUCCAUCUAUGGUCAUCGAAACGAAAAAAAUACAAAAUAAAAAUUGUGCGGAACAGCAAAAUGAAUUUAGUUGUUAAAGGGAAUUCAAAAGGUAAACUAUGUGUGAUCAAUUUGACAAAAAAACAUAUUAAAAACUCCAAACAUAAUCCAGAAAUCGAAGACUAUUACUCAAUGAAACUAUGAACCGGUCAAGGGAAUGGAAUCACAACAUCGCGGUGCAUCUUUUUCAUGUAGACCUUAUCUCAAACUAAAGCACCAUUCUGUUGAUUAGGAGGUAUUAUUUGAAGGUGAUUCGAGAAACUGAGGAUAAUAGAACACGUACAAAACUGCUACGUAUAAGUGGAAUACCGUGCCCAUUUUGGUUUGGGCUGGGCAUGGCUUGAUUGAAAUGGCCCGGUGUUCGCUGAGGAAUAGGUUGAUGAGCGUUUUGUGUAGUGUGCGGUCCACUUUUUUCUUGAAAACUAGGCAACCAAAUGGGCCAGACAUGGACCUCUAAAGCCUACUUAGAUAUUAUGUGAGCAAACUAAUAGACCCAAACUGCUUGUGCCAUUCAUCUUUUCUCUUACUUGUAUAUUAUUUGGAUAUUGGUCUCAUGGUCAUUAAGUGGCACUCCACUUAGAGGCAUGUUGUCGAUGUCAUGGUGGUUGGACCGCAACCACCUCGAAUUGUACUCGAGCAGGAUGAUAGUGAAGCUUGUGUUCGAUUUUUGUCAAUCUUCACAUGGAGGCUUUGCUAUUCCAUUAUCCACCUCCAAAAUGUGUCUUUUGUUUAAUUUGUGCCAAUAGGCACAUAAAGACAAACACUCAACUAAUGCAUCAUACCCCCCAUUUUAUAAUUGGCAAAUAUUUAAUGAUUACUCUUUGUUGCUGUAGUCUCGAUGUCAACCUAAUCUUCCUCCACUUUUGCACUCUCAUUUCCCAUCAGGAAGGCAAAGUCAUCAAUUCCAAUUAAGUCACAAUUGAACAUUGCCAUGAACGAGUCAACUUUUGGGUCCUUUUACGCACUACAAUGCCAAUAUGCACGAAUUAAACAUCAACACAUAUCAGCAGUAGAAAACUUCAUCGAACAAGUUGUGUGUCCCACCGAUAUUGUAGGCCUGCUCAGGCCGCGAGAGAGGAGGAGGAGGAGGGGACGUGGUGAUUUCUUGGGGUGGCGGAAGCAGCGAGGGGUCAGCAGUGCAUUGUUCUUCUUACGUGGUGGGGUACUAUCCUUUCUGUUUGUCAAGACACACCAUUAUAUCAUCGUCAGGCGACAUUAGACCGAUGUCGGUAGUUGUGGUAGGCACGAGCAUGGUGCUAGCAGUGGUAGUGGCAUAAGCGAGGCCAAGCCACAAUGUUGACUGGAGCGGCGCACAACUUGUCUGUGGUUGGAGAAUCGAGGAAGGAAAUGGAUGCGGGCCUUUCCAUUGACUGCACGAGCUCAAUCUCACAGGUCUAUGGAAGGUAGGAUUGCAUUAGAUGAGUGUUUGUCUGCACAGGCCUUUCCAUUGACUGCACGGGCCUUGAACCAUAGAUCGAACAAAAAAAAGCCUAUACGUCGGUGGUGCUUGUGCGGAUGCAAUAGGACGACUAAGAAGGAUAGAGAAGGGUCAUUCGUUGGGGUGUGACUCGCAUACAGUUGCUCGUAACAUCUACUGUUUGAGCCUACCGGGUGGAACUUCGAUCCGUCAACACUGUCGCAACCGCAAAUAGCAGGCGUUUCUCCGCGGAUGUCAUGUGCAGAUCCCUUCUAGGCCUUGCGGAUCAUGCUAUUACAGGAAUUUGCUAUGUUCCCUUGUAGCCCUAGCUACUACAGUACAGUAAAGGGGACAAAGAAAAAACACGCAGUGAAGGAAAAUACCUUCAUAUCAAAGCUGCCAUUUAUCUUGUUGGUUAAGAUGACGUAGAUAGGUAGACUUUUCUCUAGCCACGGUCGCACGCAUGGAUUCUACGAGGGGGUUCACUUCAUCACUUGAGAACAAAAUAAAUGCUUACGUUAAAGGUUUGACAUCCCAGAGACAUAAUAAUAAAAUAAGAGAAAGAUGAAUCGUCAAACCUGGAUGAACAUGCCGUCCCCGCCAGACGAUACUCUUCCUUGGGAGAGGCUACAGAGUGUGCUUCUUGUCGAUGAAUCUGAGGGCGUGUCCCUGUGCGAUGCCGAUGAGGAUCAUGCGUCCUCCCUUGAAGCCGCCACCAGGCCAUAUCCCAUAUGGACGCCUGAUGCACCGCUGCCGACGUGUGGUAGUGAUCAGGAUCUGACCACAGGAUCACCUUCAG